ensembl:lncRNA
GUUUAUCAAGGGUAUUUCAGUAUAACCUGGUGCCCUAACAUGCUUGCAAUAAAUGCUACUCUCUUUGUCCAAACUAACUAACACACACUGGAUCAUCAUAAGGGAGAACCGUUAACCCUAGUCUUGAACUUCUGAGGAGAACCGUUAUCUAUAGGUAGUCUUGAACUUCUGAGGAGAACCGUUAUCUAUAGGUAGUCUUGAACUUCUGAGGAGAUUCUCCAGCUGGAUGGCGCCAUGGCCUCUGCUGGCGCGAGGUCUGAGAAUGGCUCCCAUGUUUACGCUAGUGUGACUGGUGUUUGGGACUGCAGUCAGCUCUGCAGCUGAAACCCCUUCUGCUUGAGACACAGGACACCUGUUGAGACCCAGUCACUGCAGGCCAAUGUGUACACACUCCAUACAUAUAUAUAUAUUCCUCCCGUGUCCUCUUUCUUUAUUAGAGAUGAGUACAUUUAUAUUUCUUCCUCUGCAUUUUAUUUUUGUUUUGUAUUUCAUUCUCGUACUACGCUUUGGAAUAUUCUCUUUUCAGGUGUGUGUCUCUGGUCAUGUUUCUCAGAAUGUUCCUGGCAGAUAUACGAUGACCUCAACCUUUAGAAAGUCAUAAACAUUCAUUUCUGUUGGAGAUUUGACGCCGUCUUUUCUUCUGCCCAUAAGCUUAGUCAUACCCUCACAGAGUUCUUGUGCUUAUAUUUCCCACCGAAGAGUGAAACACUUUGCUGAAUAUAUCUUUUAAUGUUACAGUAUCACUUUCCACUGGACUUCAGUGACAAGACCCCCCCCCCCCCCUUGAUUUGCUGUGUGAUUUAAAUGAAAUUAACCUUGAAGAUGCAAACUGCAACUGGAAUCAAUCUAAUCACCAAUACAAGGCAAACUCAGAGUACAGGUUAGCCACUAGCAAAUCAGCAUUAUGAAACAAACACGAACCCACUUGCAGAUAGAGAAAGACUGUAGACUUACCAAAGAGGUUUCUGUCGAACUUGUCAUGCAUGGGCUCCUGAUGCCAUCAGAACUUAGACUGUUGGCGUUUAACGAAUCGCACGUUCACGUACUACACUCCUGCUUAUGAGCUUUGCUCC